UGCUCUUGUUUAUGUUUUUGUUCAACUUUCGGACAAAGAAUGACAUACAGAUGCACAAAAUAAAUUCUCCUUGGCAACCAGAACUCAUUGAUUGGUAUGAAUUUUGAUACAUUACAAGCAGGAAUAGG